CACGUAGUUAGCCGGGGCUUCUUAGUCAGGUACCGUCAUUAUUCUUCCCUGCUGAUAGAGCUUUACGUACCGAAAUACUUCUUCACUCACGCGGCGUCGCUGCAUCAGGGUUUCCCCGAUUGUGCAAUAUCCCCGACUGCUGCCUCCCGUAGGAGUCUGGGCCGUGUCUCAGUCCCAAUGUGGCCGUUCACCCUCUCAGGCCGGCUACUGAUCGUUGCCUUGGUGGCUUUACCUCACCAACUAGCUAAUCAGACGCGGAACCAUCGUAUACCACCGGAGUUUUCGCACUGCUUCAUGCGAAGCUGUGCGCUUAUGCGGUAUUAGCACCUAUUUCUAAGUGUUAACUCCCGAGUAUACGGCAGGUUUCCACGCGUUACUCACCGUCGCACUACUAUAAUUCACUAGGUUCGUUAUAACGUCGUUCGACUUGCAUGUGUUAGGCACGCGCAGCGUUCAUCCUGAGCCAGGACUCAACUCU
rnacentral:rRNA from 1 species